GACGAACGCUGGCGGCGUGCUUAACACAUGCAAGUCGAGCGGAGCGGCGAACGGGUGAGGAACGCGUGAGUAACUGCCCCCCUCUCUGGGAUAACAGUUGGAAACGGCUGCUAAUACCGGAUAGUGGGGGAUGACUCGCGUCCUAUCAGCUUGUGGGUGGGGUAGUGGCCUACCAAGGCGACGACGGGUAGCCGGCCUGAGAGGGCGACCGGCCACAUGGGGCUUAGAUAGGGCCCAAAGUCCUACGGGAGGCAGCAGUGGGGAAGAUUGCACAAUGGGGGAAACCCUGAUGCAGCAACGCGCGGGCGGGAUGACGGUCUUCGGGGAGUAAACCGCUUUCAGCCAUGACGCGGUAGUGGCAGAAGAAGCACCGGCUAAGUACGUGCCAGCAGCCGCGGUAAUUC
rnacentral:rRNA from 1 species